rnacentral:misc_RNA from 1 species
GUAGGUGAACCUGCGGAAGGAUCAUUAACACGUAUCCAACGUUAAACCCCCCUGUGAACCUUCAUUGUGGUCCCCCAUUCCGUUAGAACGCGGCAAUCCCUGGUAAAUCAUCGCCGAACAGUUUUGAUUCAGGGACCUCUGCAUGGUUUGGGCUAGCACCGCGAGGCAAGUGGCCUGGCAUUCGUAAGAAUGGCGCAGUAACGAUCGCUAGAGGCCCACACGGCCGGCGACCGGGUCACUGGGCUCACGC